UGGCUCAGCAUCAGGCGCGCAUCCUAAGGCAGGGCGGGCGGGGCCUCCCGAAGAGAAAGCGCGGGUCCUGGGGCGGGGCCUUUAGAAGAGAGCGCGGCUGAGCUCGGAGCGAGGCGGGGCCGGCCGCGCGUACUUAAGCAGUCUUGGCGCUUGCGGACGCCCCGCCAUGGCUCUGAGGUGCAUCGUUUCUGUGCUGCGCUUCGGCACUCCCCGCGUCGCCCCACUGUCCACGGCGCCCGUGGCUCGCGAGCAGUCCGCGGCUGGCGAGCAGUCCGCCGCAGGCCGGGAGGCCACUCCAGGAUGCCGGGCGGCCGAAGGUGCGCGACCGCCGUUGCCCGUCGUGGACUUUGGCAACACUCAGGAGGCGUACCGCAGCCGGCGCAGCUGGGAACUGGCGCGCAGCCUGCUGGUGUUGCGCUUGUGCGCCUCACCUGCGCUGCUGGCGCACCACGAGCAGCUGCUCCAUCUCACCAGGAGACUUCUGGGGCAAAGGCUGUUUGACAAGCUGAUGAAGAUGACCUUCUAUGGACAGUUUGUGGCUGGUGAGGACCAGGAGUCCAUCCGGCCCCUGAUCCAGCACAACAGGGCCUUUGGCGUGGGCUCCAUCCUGGACUACGGGGUGGAGGAGGAUCUGAGCCCCCAGGAGGCAGAGCACAAGGAGAUGGAGUCCUGUACAUCGGCUGUAGAGAGGGAGGGCAGUGGUACAAGUAAGAGGGAGAAGCAGUACCAGGCCCACCGGGCCUUUGGAGACCGCAGGGAUGGUGUCAUCAGUGCCCGCACCUACUUCUAUGCCAAUGAAGCCAAGUGUGACAGCCACAUGGAGACGUUCUUGCGCUGCAUUGAGGCUUCAGGCAGAGCCAGUGAUGAUGGCUUCUCAGCCAUCAAGCUCACCGCAUUGGGGAGACCCCAGUUUCUGCUGCAGUUCUCAGACGUGCUGACCAAGUGGAGACGAUUCUUUCACCAAAUGGCUGCAGAGCAAGGGAAGGCUGGGCUGGCUGCCACGGACAUGAAGCUGGAGGUGGCAGUGCUACAGGAAAGUGUGGCAAAGAUGGGCAUCGCAUCCAGGACGGAGAUUGAGAGCUGGUUCACUGCGGAGACCUUGGGCGUGUCUGGCACUCUGGACCUACUGGACUGGAGCAGCCUCAUCGACAGCAGGACUGAGCUCUCUAAGCACCUGGUGGUCCCUAACAUGCAGACAGGACAGCUGGAGCCUCUCCUGUCACAGUUCACGGAGGAGGAAGAGCUGCAGAUGACGAGGAUGCUGCAAAGAAUGGACAUCCUGGCCAAGAAAGCCACUGAGGUGGGUGUGCGGCUGAUGGUGGAUGCCGAGCAGACCUACUUCCAGCCAGCCAUCAGCCGCCUGACACUGGAAAUGCAGCGCAAGUUCAACAUAGAGAAGCCGCUCAUCUUCAACACAUACCAGUGCUACCUCAAGGACGCCUAUGACAACGUCACCCUGGAUGUGGAGCUGGCUCGCCGUGAGGGCUGGUGCUUUGGGGCCAAGCUGGUGCGGGGUGCAUAUAUGGCCCAGGAACGCGCCCGUGCCGCGGAGAUUGGCUAUGAGGACCCCAUUAACCCUACGUAUGAGGCCACUCAUGCCAUGUAUCACAGGUGCCUCAAUUAUGUCCUGGAGGAGCUGAAGCACAAUGCCAAGGCCAAAGUGAUGGUGGCCUCUCACAAUGAGGACACAGUUCGCUUCACGCUGCGCAGGAUGGAGGAGCUGGGCCUGCACCCUGCUGACCGUCAGGUGUACUUUGGACAGCUACUGGGCAUGUGUGAUCAGAUCAGCUUCCCACUAGGACAACUCAUCCCCAUUCCUGUCCUUGUACACAAGGAAGACGUCUCUGGUGAUUUGGAAGAUUCUGAUACAUAGAUCAACAAUAGUUCAUCACAGAGGCCCCACUGAGACCCAGUCUGAGCUGCCUGUUGCUGCAAGACCCCAACCUUCAAGCAAGUGUGGUGCCCACAGAAGCCCCUUGUGCCUUGCUGCUUGCAGCUUGUCGAGUCCCUGAUGCCAUGCUUAAGGCUGCCUUCCUUCAACAUCUUCCUAGAAGCUUCUUCAUGAUCUUCAACUGGAGAUUUUUCUGUGGGAACAGACAUCAGAGCAAAACUGCUCUUACACGUCAUUGGAAUGGGCCCCAAUCAGCAGUCAUGUUGCUGGUCCAUUGCAUUCUAUCUGGAGUCUUAAAUGCAUUUAUGUAAAAUGAUCUCGCAUCAGGUGACUGCUGUGAUGAGAACAAACUGGUCAUGAAGGUCAUCCUCCAAGACAGUUAACUAUGAAGAUGGCUGACAGUGUCCAGCAGCAAAGUAUGGGAUCUCAGGUUUUCUCUGAAUGGGCCAACCUCUCAAAAGUGAGAUCAUAACCAAAAUGGGGGACUGAGAAUGGAAGAUACAAAAGAACAGUGGCCUGGCCAUAUAUAAAAAUAGGACUCUGACAUGAGGUCUGCAGCAACCAGCCCAGGAAAUCAACCCACUUUCUUCAGUUUUGGCAUAUUACCUAGAAGUCAGACGUGUAGGUGUCAGACCGCUCUCUCGAGCAAACAGCCCCGGAAGCUAAAUAAUAACCUCUGUAUUGAAUUGACUGGCCCAAAAUGGCCAAGACUUGAUUUGCCACUGCGAGUAUCCCUGAAUUUUGUCCUCACUUGCAACUUAAGACCAGCAGAUAAAACCACAGAUGCACCCCUAACAAUGAUAUAGGAUGCCCUUCUUCUAGAACACUCACCAUAGCUUCCUUACGCCAAUAGUCUCCUGCAUCACUGAGGCCUUGUAUUAUUCUGUCUCUACAAAGUUUCUCUAACUUCUGUCCAUCUCUGAGUCUGCCUAAAGGCAAGGGAUAGUGGCUGACUCCCUUGCUCUAGCAAAUUUUGAAGAAAUCACCUGUACUUAUUAUCAUUUGUUUUGUCUUUAUUUGUAUCCACAGCAACACUGAGUAGUGUCAAAAAACACUGAAUGGUUCAGGUAGGGAGCUGGGCUAAGUCAAGAGUGCUGGGCCCACCCUGCUGGGGACCCACUGAAGUCUGCUUCUAGCUCAAGUACUCCUUACACUGGUAUUUUCCUGAUUUGGGUGGUUCUGGAAAUGCAUAACUUUCCCAUUCCUUUCAACUCCCUAGACUUCUCCAGCAAGCAUCUGGUUCCAGAAGUUCUGUGGUCUUGGUGUUCAGCUUUGGAAACAUUGAGACCAAGUUCUGAAACAACCAUGUGGAACUGCUGAGUAAGAAAGCCGAGAUGGUGUGGGCUAGAGAUUUUAAAAUUGAAUCGAGGCCAUCCUAGGUCAGAAAGAUUGGAAAUUAUCAGUAUAGAUGCUACCUAAAAGAAAAAGAAAGUAGGAAAAUAUGUCUGGUGAUCCUCAAGUGGUGUCCUGGGGAGGGGGUCUCCAAGAUGUGGUUAUGGGGAAGGCACUCCCAGAGGAGAUAAGGCUCUGUCCCCUGCCACAAAAGGGUCUAGACUCAUCCAAAGGAUGACGAGUCUGUAGAAACUGGAUCUGGGGGAUGAAGGAAGGAGCAGGGAAAGUGGAUACUCAGAGCCAGAACAGCUAGGCUUAGUCCAUGCAGCUUAGACACUUGAAUCAAUAGCCAGUGAGACAUGGAAGGCCACAGACAAUUUAUGAAGCCACCAAAGCACUAGCCCAGGUGGCCACUUUCCCAAUUACUUCACAAUACCUGCUCAGCCAGAGCUGGUCAGUUGAAGGGAAGCUAAUUCUUAGCAGAGCCAUCAUGUGACCAUUGGUUUGGAAUGUCCUGGCUUCUGAGUCAGCUUGGGAGCCAAACAACCCUGGUCACUGAGGGUGUUCAACUGGUCACCUGGAAGACACCACGUGGGAUGGCUGAUGGUGUGAAGAUGCCGGAGAAGGGUGGCCCACGUUGGGCUUCCCCUCAUCCUUCAGAGGGGCUUCACUUGGGGGCAACUGCAUCGUGUUUUGGGUCAAGGAUUGAAACCUAGAGAUGGGAGACUGAGUUAGGAUCUGGGUUUUUCUCUUGGCUCAGGCACCUCCUCCAAGGCAUCAACUGUCUCCUUCACAGAAAAUGGGGCAGGAGGAUUUGAGGAAGAGACUGAGGGGCCCCUGGUUAGGGGUGCAGGGCAUGAUUUCAGGUGUUCAGUGAUCUCUCUCUCCAGGGAACCAGCUAAAUUUCUGUCUUGAACACCCAACUAAACAGUUUAGUGACUUUUGGUGAGUCACUUUUUCUCUCUAAAUUUGAAUGCCCCCACUGUAAAAUACAGAUGAUAGGCCCUGCUCUGCCGCCUCCCACCUCAACAGGGCUGACACAGAAACCACAGGAGAUCACAGAUAUUCUCUUUGAGCUGUAAGCAUCUCUCCAUAUAAAGGCUAACAGGAAGCUUACAUCCUCUCCUGUUGUGGAGCCAUCCACAACACCUCUCUGGAUUCAACCACUACCAAGUGUCUACCUUAUUUAGUGAUUGAACACCUAGGGUAGUUAUGAAACACCAGCCACUUAUUUUUCUGAAGACUUUACUUGUGUUUAAUCAUUUUGAGCUCACAACUUAAUACUAAAAAUUAGGCCCUAUUAACAUUUCAAUAUCUCAGAACAGAGAAACAAGUCACAGAGGGGUCUAUACAACUUUCUCAGGUACAUCGAGCUUCUAAGCAGAGUUUUGACCCAGGCCUUCAGUCAUGGACUAUGUACUUGCUGUGCUUCUAUAAUGCCUCAGGGAAAUAAAGCUAUUUGCUCACAAAACCUGUCUGUUGGGUGUUCAAAGUGUACACCCAGUUGCAAGAUCUCUAGAAGUCCAACUUGGCUUCACAAGGCUCUGCUGGUCAGCUGGCGAAUAAUGGAAUCAAAAGAUUGAUUGUGAAUACAUUAUCACUAAUUUCCCUAUGGACUUCUACAGCAAGGUGUCAGCAGUUCUCUCUAUUGCAAUGCAUUUCCCAGGAUCUUGUUUCAAGGAUGAAGAAGAAGAAAUGUUCCCCUGAGGUCAAGAAUAUCAACUGGCACCAGGCAGUGCUUCAGAAAACUCCACAUCUGGCAAACAACAGGGGGUACUCUAUAAAUGACCCCAUUGAGGUAUUGUGGAAAUUCACUCAUUAAGUUCAUUCAAGAAGAAGGAUUCUACUUUAGUCAGUGGCCCAUAUUUAAUAGAAAACCAUAAAAAUUUAAACCAUAUUCUUCUGUAUGCAAAGGGGGAUGAUCAAGGCUAUCAGUUGUGCUGUAACUGUAUAGAAGUCAAGAUACAUUUCUAACUCAAGAUUGGGCACACGUUUUACACUAAACAACAUCUCUAGCUGUUGUAUAGACCUUUAGCUGAUUUGUAAACAUUGGCUCUAAUAGAUCUCUUCCUAAAACAGUGUUUACAGAUUUUUAAGAACCUUAAUAGGCAUUAUUUAGAACAGGAGGUUUAGAUGAAUGUAAGAGUUGAACAGAUAAUGUAGAAAGUUCCCAUAUUCUACCCCUCCAGUUUCCCCAACUGAUAACAUCUAACACGAGUGUAGUACCUUUGGUAUAACUAGCAAAAUCAUAAUGGCACAUUUUCAUUAAAUUAAAGUCCACAGCUUCCAUUGAAAUUCA